UACGUAGGGGGCAAGCGUUGUCCGGAUUUAUUGGGCGUAAAGAGCGUGUAGGCGGCCAUACAGGUCAGCUGUGAAAACUCGAGGCUCAACCUCGAGACGUCGGUUGAAACCGUAUGGCUAGAGUCCGGAAGAGGAGAGUGGAAUUCCCGGUGUAGCGGUGAAAUGCGCAGAUAUCGGGAAGAACACCCGUGGCGAAGGCGGGUCUCUGGGCCGAUACUGACGCUGAGGAGCGAAAGCAUGGGUAGCGAACAGG
rnacentral:rRNA from 1 species